CAAGCCACCCACCUCAACCUCCCAAAGUGUUGGCAUCACAGGCAUGAUCCACCACACUCAGCCUUGAAACCAGAUUUAAAUAUCUCAGCCCAGACAGUGUCUUAACAGAAACAGAACAGCUGAGGCAAAAAAGGAAGAUUCUCUUAGCCCAAAGUCAGUGCCCUCAUCCAAACUACUUAAUUGUGAUCACCAGUACCUUGUGUCUUUAGCCAAAUCUGAAUUAAUCUGUUCAGAAUGAACAAGCAGAAUAGUCUUUGGAUUUGAUCCAAAUCCCUGAAGCACUUUGGGAAUGAGAAUGGCUAUACCAGACAGAGAGACCCUGGCGACUUAUGAUACUGCAGAACACAACAGGCACUUCAGAUUGGUCCCAGUUAAGUUGAGGGAGAGCAGUGAUAUUGAGCAGUCAGCUAAAGAAACAAAGCUGUAGAGG